rnacentral:rRNA from 1 species
UACAGAGGGUGCGAGCGUUAAUCGGAAUUACUGGGCGUAAAGCGCGCGUAGGCGGCUUUGCAAGUCGGGUGUGAAAUCCCCAGGCUCAACCUGGGAACUGCGUCUGAUACUGGAUGGCUUGAAUCCGGGAGAGGGAUGCAGAAUUCCAGGUGUAGCGGUGAAAUGCGUAGAUAUCUGGAGGAAUACCGGUGGCGAAGGCGGCAUCCUGGACCGGCAUUGACGCUGAGGAGCGAAAGCCAGGGGAGCAAACGGG